UGAAAUUGGGUGGAAAAAGAAAGAGAAUAGAAGAAUGAUUGUCUUAUUGUUUUCCUCUCUUGGGUUUGACAAAAAUGCCUUUCUUCCUUGUGAUGUUUGGGGCAGAAAGUGAGUGUUGGGGUGUGUGUGCUUCUCCUUCGUCUGUCCUAUCUGUCAAGUGUUCAUGAGGUAGAAGAAUGAUGGGGUCGGAAUCGAGCGGGAAGAGGAGUAGACACCCUGAAGAUCCUGUCUAUCUGGAUAAUUUUCAUUCCCACAAACGAUAUCUCAGCGAGGUGUUUAUUUUUUGCCCUCAGAUCGUUCCUCUUGCCAUUUUUGUGGAUGGAAACCAGUUUUGAUUCCUUUUUUUUUUUGCUUGUUUCUGAGUUUGGUGGAUGAAUUAGUGGCUUUUCUCAAAUGGGUGUCCGUUUCUUGUUGAUCAACACAUGAUCAUGUUGGAUCUGACCGAGCUGCAGCGCACAGUCUCUCGUGUGGGCGUGACCUUACACUGUGCCUCACAGUGACUCAUGAAUGAAACCACCUUCGCAGAACUGCCAUCAGACAGACACAAGGCAAGAAUUCAUGAGGAGGAAUGAGCAGAGACCAGUAAUCAUAUAACUUGGCACUACAGCAAAGUAGUAGCUGCACAAAUUGUCUUUGACUUUAUCCUGGAAGACUUCCUCUUCUAUUGGGGGCACUGGGUUUUACAUACCAAAGGAUUGUACAAAAAUGUGCACAGUGUCCAUCAUGAGUAUGCAUCACCUUUUGGAAUAAUUUCAUUAUAUGCUCAUCCCUUCUAGAUUGUGUUCCUUGGUUCUGUUACUGUUAUUAGACCCGCCAUUACAAGGCCUCAUCUAUUUACUUAUUGGAUGUGGAUGGGUUUAAGGGUCAUGGGAACAGUGGAUUCCCAAUGCGGCUAUGAUUUUCCUUUGAGUCUAUCAAAGGUGCUACCCAUAUAUGGAGGGGCCGAAUUUCAUGAAUAUCAUCACCGCUUGUUAUAUACAAAGUCCGGGAACUAUUCAUCAACGUUCACAUACAUGGACUGCUUUAAUGUCCCCUGCGGCUCCUAGACAAUAGCAAAUUUAGGCUUUUCAGUGCACCAAGCUUCAGCUUGCACCAAGAACUGACAACCAUUCGAGCAAAAAGAAUGUGGCUCACUUCCACUUGCCAUCCUCC